rnacentral:lncRNA from 1 species
GGUUUUCUUAUUGUUUUGGGGAGGAUUUUCCUGAAAUGAAUAUUCUACUAAAUAUUAAAUUCAUAGACUCUAGGAGUUGAAGGCAAAUGGUUUAAAACUCCAAUGUUAAAGAAUUAUCUAAUGAAAAGAAGUGCUUAAAAUCUAAUGUAGACAAGUUUCUUUUCAAAAUAUAGAGGAGAUGAGGAGAUCUCUUUUUUCUGGUGUUGUGGGUUUAGAAGUAAAGAGAAGCAGCCUUGAGAUUAGUGGGCCAUGAAAACCCUAACUUCACACCAACUUGCUUUCUUUAUUUCUCUAUUUACCCAGCAAAAAAUACACUAGAGUUAAGAAUAAGCUUAAAAAAUUCAUCUUGAGGAAAUCUAAGGCAGUAUGGUUAUGCAUCAUUUACCUUCUUCUCUACUUGAGACCCACCUUAGAAGUUUCUGGACCAGAUGAGAGGGCUUUUGAGGAUGUAGCAAAUCUAGCCAAGGUGGUGAGGAGAGCUAGUAUAGUCCAUUUGAGUGUGCUGAGAUGGAAGAUUUGUGGCAGAGACAGAUCCAGGUUUUUCGGGAACUGAAGACAAUAACAUUUGGAAACCUCUUUAAGUAAAAGAAUGCAAAAGGAAGCCAGAGUGUCAGUGUGUUGAGCAAACUCUAUAUGGAGGGACAGAACAUAGACAGAAGCAUUGCUGUAUUGUUUGUCCAAGAAGGCCAGUUUGAUGGAUGAAAUUUGCCUUGCUGUAUUGUUAUUAAUUUUUAAUGUCUAUAUUCUCUUUCUUUAAAAAUCACCUAUUAAAUAUUUUCUGCCUGUUCAGUCUGCUAUAACAGAAUGCUAUAAACUAG